rnacentral:rRNA from 1 species
AUGGAGCAGUUCGAGGGAGAGAGCUGGCGGCCAGAGAACAGGGAGGGGAGUGUCUUCUUCCCGGCGAAGGGCUGGAGGCGCGGCAAGCUGGAGUUGAGGCCUGAGUUCGGCCGCUGUGUGCUCCAGCGCACGCUGGGGAUGUAUCGGGUGGAGGAGAAGUUGUGUGGUCGUGCACUGGUGGGUACAGUGGAAGGGCACCGGCCUCCCGUGUCGCCGGCACAGGUGGUUGCCGCUUUGGAGUCGCAAUGCGGCCUCUCCCGCGACCACAUCAUCGUCGAGGUAUGUUCCCCUCCGGUGGAUUUUCUUGUGCGGUUUCGAUCCAGUGAGGAUUGCACUCGGGUGCUCAUCUACCACUCCCAUAAGCUUACCGUCGCUAGAGCGACGAUCCAGUUUAGCCGUUGGCACCGUGGGAUGGGUGGCGAGGCGUCGUCUUUGAACUUUUCAACUAGGUUGAUCUUAGAUGGGCUGCCGCAAGAAGCAUGGGACGUUGAGUUUGUUGGCAAGCUCGUUAGCAGUCUCGGCGGCGAUCUCGUUAAGAUGGUGAAGCCCACUGAUCGUUGUUUCAUAGUUGUUGAAGCAUGGAUGAAAAAUCCUAACAAGGUGCCCAAGUUAUAUGAAGUGGAGCUGCCAGAACCUGACCUACCCUAA